GGUCACUACACCAUUGGCAAGGAGAUUGUUGAUCUGUGCCUUGACCGCAUCAGGAAGCUUGCCGACAACUGCACUGGUCUCCAGGGCUUCCUUGUGUUCAACGCUGUUGGAGGAGGAACGGGCUCCGGUCUCGGUUCCCUUCUCCUUGAGCGUCUCUCUGUGGACUAUGGCAAGAAGUCCAAGCUCGGGUUCACCGUGUACCCGUCCCCUCAGGUCUCCACCUCUGUGGUUGAGCCAUACAA
rnacentral:misc_RNA from 1 species